rnacentral:misc_RNA from 1 species
GCAAACUUGGUCAUUUAGAGGAAGUAAAAGUCGUAACAAGGUUAUCGUAGGUGAACCUGCGAUAGGAUCAUUAAUGUGUUUGGACUUCUGUCCUUCAUCCCGACGCUGUGCGCCUUUCGGGGCUGCACGCUGAAGGAGCAUAUAUCCACACCUGUGCACAUACACGGUGGUGGGGCUUGAUUGCCUCGCCGCUGCCUUCACACACGUCUUAAAAGUCUUGUAUGUUUUAUAUCAUAUUAUACACAACUUUCAGCAACGGAUCUCUUGGCUCUCGCAUCGAUGAAGAACGCAGC